GGGGGCGAAAAGGGCUCGACGGGGGUCGAGAAGCAGGAAGUGCAGGCCGGGGACCCGUGACCUCGUCAAAAAAGCGGGAACUAUCAUCUGCCAACGAGCAGAUGGCUCUCGCUGCCUAGGUAACCCCUAGCUGCAGCGACGGUCGCCCGGAUCCCGCCCGUGGGGUCCGGUGCGAGCGUCAGACAAACGCGGGCUGGUCCAACGCCCUCGCUCGUGGGCCGCGGACGAGAUCCAAUCGAGCUGGCGCGCCGCUGAUCCCGCCGGUCGGAGCGGAGGCGCGCGAGACUUAAUCGGCCGGACACGCCUGUAGCAUCUUCUCGAGGACCGACGUUCGGACGCGGGUUCGAUUCCCGCCGCCUCCACCA
rnacentral:tmRNA from 1 species